rnacentral:misc_RNA from 1 species
UCCGGCUUGAUACCGGCAGUCUGGCUAGACACGUGUAACUAGCCACAGGGGUUGCGCUCGUUGCGGGACUUAACCCAACAUCUCACGACACGAGCUGGCGACAGCCAUGCAGCACCUGUGCACGCUCCCCGAAGGGUCGUUCCGCUUUCGCUUCACUACUACGUGCAUGUCAAACCCAGGUAAGGUUCUUCGUGUCGCAUCGAAUUAAACCACAUGCUCCGCUGCUUGUGCGGGUCCCCGUCAAUUCCUUUGAGUUUUAGCCUUGCGGCCGUACUCCCCAGGCGGGGCACUUAAUGCGUUAGCUCCGGCACGGGAGGAGUCGACACCUCCCACACCUAGUGCCCAUCGUUUACGGCGUGGACUAC